rnacentral:rRNA from 1 species
AGAGUUUGAUCCUGGCUCAGGAUGAACGCUGGCGGCGUGCCUAACACAUGCAAGUCGGACGGGCCAAGUUUACUUGGUCAGUGGCGGACGGGUGCGUAACACGUAGGUGACCUGCCCUGAAGUGGGGAAUAAUUCCGCGAAAGCGGGACUAAUACCGCAUAUGCUCGCCGAUUCGUUUCGGUGCGUAAAGUCGCAAGACGCUUUGGGAUGGGCCUGCGGCGGAUUAGCUGGUUGGUGGGGUAACGGCCUACCAAGGCGAUGAUCCGUAGGGGGCGUGAGAGCGUGACCCCCCACAUUGGCACUGAGACACGGGCCAAACUCCUACGGGAGGCAGCAGUGAGGAAUAUUGCACAAUGGGCGCAAGCCUGAUGCAGCAACGCCGCGUGCGGGACGAAGGCCUUCGGGUCGUAAACCGCUUUUCUGAGGGACGAGACAGGACGGUACCUCAGGAAUAAGUCUCGGCUAACUACGUGCCAGCAGCCGCGGUAAAACGUAGGAGGCUAGCGUUAUCCGGAUUUACUGGGCGUAAAGCGCGCGCAGGCGGCUUCGUGAGUCGGACGUGAAAGCUCCUGGCUUAACUGGGAGAGGUCGUUCGAUACUGCGAGGCUUGAGGUUGGGAGAGGGGUGCGGAAUUCCCGGUGUAGUGGUGGAAUGCGUAGAUAUCGGGAGGAACACCAGUGGCGAAGGCGGCACCCUGGCCCACACCUGACGCUGAAGUGCGAAAGCGUGGGUAGCAAACAGGAUUAGAUACCCUGGUAGUCCACGCCGUAAACGAUGUCAACUAGGUGUCGGUAGUGUUACACUAGCGGUGCCGUAGCUAACGCGUUAAGUUGACCGCCUGGGGACUACGGCCGCAAGGCUAAAACUCAAAGGAAUUGAUGG